GAUGAACGCCGGCGGCGUGCUUAACACAUGCAAGUCGAACGAAGCUGCUUAAAGGAAGUUUUCGGAUGGAAUUUAGGUAGACUUAGUGGCGGACGGGUGAGUAACGCGUGGAUAACCUGCCUUAUACAGGGGGAUAACGGAGAGAAAUUUCCGCUAACACCGCAUAAGACCACAGCACCGCAUGGUGCAGGGGUAAAAUAUUUAUAGGUAUAAGAUGGAUCCGCGUCCGAUUAGCUAGUUGGUGAGGUAGAGGCUCACCAAGGCGACGAUCGGUAGCCGGCCUGAGAGGGUGAACGGCCACAUUGGGACUGAGACACGGCCCAAACUCCUACGGGAGGCAGCAGUGGGGAAUAUUGGACAAUGGGGGAAACCCUGAUCCAGCGACGCCGCGUGAGUGAAGAAGUAUUUCGGUAUGUAAAGCUCUAUCAGCAGGGAAAG
rnacentral:rRNA from 1 species